UAAGCCACUAAACAGCGCCGAGACCCAGGGGUAGAUGAUACACAGUUAAGUUACUCGUGAAGUGCACAUUUUCAAAAUGAUGACAGUUGGGACCUUGGCAUGUCUCCUGUGCUAAGAGAUUGGACCUAAAGAAAAACAGCCCGGGCACCAUACUGCAAGGACAAUUGAUGUCCACCUAGAUCAGCAAGUCAGGACUUCC